UACGGAGGGGGCGAGCGUUAUUCGGAAUUAUUGGGCGUAAAGAGCUCGUAGGCGGUUUGUCGCGUCUGCCGUGAAAUCUCCACGCUUAACGUGGAGCGUGCGGUCGAUACGGGCAGACUUGGAGUUCGGUAGGGGAGACUGGAAUUCCUGGUGUAGCGGUGAAAUGCGCAGAUAUCAGGAGGAACACCGGUGGCGAAGGCGGGUCUCUGGGCCGAUACUGACGCUGAGGAGCGAAAGCGUGGGGAGCGAACAGG
rnacentral:rRNA from 1 species